UCGUUCUCGAUCUCGAUCUCAAAACCCUGUCACCUUCCUUCUCUCGGAACCCAGUAGCUUUCUAGCCUAAAUGUUAGCUAUUGUCGCUCGAUCCCUCUUUGUUUGCUAGCUCGACCCUGAGGCUGUUCCCCUUUCCCAUUGGUGUGCGACACGACGAUCCAAUUGUUGAUUUGUGGCUCUGAGACUGGUUCACUCCAAGACGAGCCUAAUCUGUCCAACCUACCACACAACGAGUCGAUCUCUGGUUCAAUCCGUCCAUAGGAUUCAAUUGAUUUGAUCAUCAUUGAAGAAAAUCACUUGAAGAGUUUAAUUUGGAUUUUCGAAAAAUCUUGGAUUGCUAUAUCUUGGAGCUUAUAAGACUUUCCAGUAAAAUCAAGAAUGGAUAGCUUUUUGCUCGACUUGCAUCAACCUUCUUAGAGUUUCAAGAAAAAAUUAGUUUUUAUUUUUUCUUUAUAUAUUGUAAUAGGUUGUUUGGUUUCUUUUAUCUCUCAGAGAUUAUAUUUUUGUUGAAAAUCCACUAUCGUUAAAAUAUUAUCAUAGUUUGUAGUUAAUUGAACUUCAACUUUUUUUCUUUUUAAUUUAAUGAAAUGAUGAAAUUUUCUCGUAGAAAGAUGUAUUAUUUAUUUUUUACAUAAAAAAUUAAUACUCUUGAGAAGGUCCCGACAAACUUUUUUGCCUAAAACCCUCAAGUUGGUUGAGCCAACUCUAAAGUAAGCAUGCAUUCUGUUGUAGUAGAUAUAGAUUAUGCUUAUUUCAUUUGAUUAGAAAUAAUGUUUCACCAGUAGAUUUCAUGAAAUAAGGUGUGGAAAUCAUUAUCCACUUAAGAGAUAUUAUCAUAGCAUGCAAAGACAUUUGGACAAAAAAAAAAUAUAUUAUAAGAUAAUUGGCUUUGUAAAAGAAAUAAGAUAAUGAUACUUAAAUUUACAUAAUGUAGGUAAAUUUGUUGUACAUAUUUUAAAUGAAUUAAUUAUAAAAUUAUUAAGUAUAAAAUAAGAUUGAUAAUUAUUUUGCUUUUCUAUGUUGCUUCGAAAGGAUCACCAUCAUCUUUGUGAAAAGAAACAAUUAAAAUUUCAAGUUACUCAACGAAAUUAUGUGGAAGAAAUGGGUUUUGGCUCUUUAUUAAGAUUAAGUUGUAAUAGGUUUUGUAGGAUAUAUCUUACAUUUUGACUAAAAAAUUUGACCCAAAACAUUAUCAUCAUUUGAAAGUGAAUGUGUUUCUCUCUGACUUGUGAUGUUAUAGGAAGUAUUUUGUGCAUUUCUAGUAUUGACAAAGAGUUUUCAAGUAAUGGACAAAACAUUGUAGGGUAAGAAAGGUCUCUAGGUUGAUCAUGGUGGUUAUGUUUGUGCAUAAUGAAUCUAGAGAAAGAUCAACAAUUAAAUUUUACAAACAGUGAUAACAGUUUUUAAUCAAUAUUCCAAGCUCUAACUUGUUCCUCACACUCUUGAGUAAUGUAUGAAACUAGAAAAGCAAAAAAAAGAAAAUAAAUCAAGUAGGAAACGGAAUUAAACAUAAUAAAAUUCCUAAUUCUAUGCAAAGUAAAUCCCUAAACAGUAUCUUAAAAUUACUCUAUUUCCUGUGUUCUUCAUCACUUCGUCUUCGUGGUUUAUGCUUAGCAUAUAAAGAUAUAAAACAUCUAUUCUCUAUUUGAUUGUUCAUUAUUUUUCUUUCCUUUGUUUUGUUUUGCUGAACUAAAUGGAGUCUCGUUGUGGGUAAAUGAUUGUUCAUUAUUUUGUGGUUAGAACCUUUACCUUUUCAAUUGUUUCCAUUCUUAAAAUAGCAAACUGAAUCUGGAUAUAUAUUAUCUUUAAAGAGCAGAUUACUGUAGUUUUUCCUACUUGUUUUACGAUUGUUUGUUUCUUGCUAUAAUAGUUGCUUUAUUUAGAAAACAAUGAGACCUCGCAGAUAUCAGAUUCAGUAACACUUAUAAACAGAGGAAAAAAUGUGUGAUGUUGGACCCGAACCCCUUAUGAGUUGGAUCUUUGGAGAGUUGCCUUGUGCUUCAGAUGUAUCAUUAUAUUUCAAAAAGGGGUCUUCAGAUGUAUCAUUUUUAGGUAGUGAAUGGUGGAGUGAGAUUCUGGUUAGAUGGUGCAGUCCAAGAACCCUUCCCCUGAUCUUUCUGAAUUGGCUAGGGCUGUGGAAGUUAACACGGGUUCAUGUUUCUUGAUAUUAUUUGGAGGCAUUCUACCGUGUGCUUUGUGACCAAGGGAAUCUCUUUUCUUGGAUUUCUCAAGUUGAAAACAUUUGAUGCUGCUGAUGCAUCAUUUUCAGCAGCCAAUGCUGCAACUGGUUUGGGAAUAUUUCUAAAAGGAAGACAGUUGAAGUUUUCAGGGCUUUGGACAAGAAAUCAACUCAGGAUAAGGAACAAGAGAAGGCAAAAAAGGAUGAGCAUGACCAUUUCCCUAAGUUGUUACUUUCUUCCCUUGAUGGACAAAAUGUUGUUAUAUUGUCAUUUUGCAAUUUGAGUGGCCUAUAUGCUAUCUACUUUCUGUACUAUAUAUCUCAACUUUUUCUAUAAAAAAAAAAGAAAAAAAAAAAGACAGGAUGGUCUUAUAGUUGAGGGCGGGCACUCUCCAGCUGCUGAAGGAGUUUUGGCCAGUGAUACGUCAAAGCGCCAAUUGUAAGUACUAAAAGUGGUUUAAUUUUGUUUUUCUUGAUAAAAAUGGAAAAUACUUCAUUAAACCUAUUCCCUCAUAUGGGAGGAAGAGAGGGUUCUGUUUGUUGAAUUAACAGUAUCACAUGUCAUACCUUAUAGACCAAUAUUUUUCGUUGUGAUAAGAGAUAUACCAAAGAGAGCAUUUGAAUUUUUGGGUGAGAGGGUAAAAUUACCCUUUUCCGCAUGCAUGGAAAUCUGUGUAAAUCCUCCCCGUGGGUUUUUGCCGCCUCUGCUUAUCCUUUUUCAUUUCUAGUUUCUUUAUUUCUAGACAUCUAAACAUGUCUGUUUCUUUCUGUUCUGAACAUAGAAGUCCAUUUUAUGGUGAAUUGAAUAAGUGUGUGAAGGAUGCAAGGAAAAAUGCUUCUUCAUGUCCAUCUCGUACUUUCUGUUCCUCUUCCUUCUAAGAUUUCAGACAAGCAAUAUUUAAUACAGCUAUCUUUAGCAAUCUAUGCCGAGCUAUCUUGAAGCAAUCACUCAGAUGUCUUGACUUGCAUCAGCUCAUUAAGAAUCCUGUCUUGUCUUGAUGAUGGUUUAAUGAUGUCAGAUGUCUUGACUUGUAUCAGCUCAUUAAGAAUCCUUGUCUUGAUGAUGGUUUAAUGAUGUCAAUACAUUUACUGCAAUAAAUGUAUUUAAAAUUAUUUUCUUAGGGUUACCAUAUAGGGAUGGUAGACAAACAUAUGUCAAUAAUUCAAUGCUAUCAUUUAGAAUUAUUUUCUUAGGGUUACCAUAUAGGAUGGUAGACAAAUGCAAUAACAGAAGAAUCUCGAGAAUACUGCAAAUACUAACAUAGAAAUAUGGAAAAACAUAUGUUUGGUCCUGGCUGUUUCUUAACAUCAUUAACUAUGAUGCUGCUCCAUAGUUUGCUGUUGGUGCACCGCUCUUGUGCACACUCCGUGGAAGAGCCUAAUGCGUAAGAAUUCUGCACACUAAAGAAGCUUUUGUUUAGAGGCAGUUACAAGCCAAGCUACCAAGCAAAAACCCAUGAUUAGACUGUUAUUGAAGAAUACAAAGAAAGGGAAAGUUAUUGCGAAGAAUCACUCACGUGGAGUUGCAUUUGUGGAAUUUACCGAGCAUCAACAUUCACUUGUUGCGUUGAGAGUUCUUAACAACAAUCCUGAAACUUUUGGUCCUCAACAUCGUCCCGAUAGUUUGCUCUUGAUAAUGUCCAAACACUGAAGCUCCGUUAAGAGUAGGCUCCAAGCUCAGCAAAAGGGUUCGCGGGAUCAUGUAGAAGAUUUGGAGCAAAAUACUGAUUCUCACAUGAACCCGAUUCUCAUCCACAGAAGAACUCUAGGAAACGUAAAUCUAAAGAUAAGGAUGAUAGAUCAUUGAAUGCUUUUAAAAUUGAAAGAGAAGACGCAGUGGAAAAGCCAAAAUUGGAAGGAGCUGUUUCCGGUUCCUCUGGUAAUUCCGCAAGAGGAACCGGAAACAUGUUUUCAUCAGAGGCAAAGCAGCAAAGCGCUCUAGAAAUAAGAAAUAAGGUAAGGAAUGCUCCCAAAAUCCGAUCACCAGAGGAAGUAGAUCUGUAAAAUAAGAAGAGGAAGCUCCCAGAUCAGGCUGAGAAACGGAAGGAAGGUAUUGGUUCAUCGAAAAGAAAGAAGACGAAGAACAAGGGUCGAGAUGUGGUGGACAAACUUGACAAGCUCAUUGAACAAUAAAAAUCCAAGUUUUCGCAGCAUAAUUCUGACAAAAUCGACAGUGAAAAGCAAAGGUUCCAGACAGCUUAGAAGAUGGUUUGAGUCAUAAUCCCAUCCCAUAGUAACUUUUUGUGGCUCUGCUGUUGAUUCCUCAUGGAGAGGAGUUGAUGCAAGUAACCAGAUUUUGUGAAUUUGAAAUUUUGGGUUACUCUUGAAUUAAGAAUAUCUAUAUUGUGUUGUGCUGUUUG